CCCAACUGUGGACUUCUCAAAAGUGUCAAGACUGGAAUUUUGCAUAUGUUCUGGGUCUUAGGAGCUGGGCUAUGGAGUUGUUACAGAGCUGUCUCCUGUGAGUCUUAAAGCCACACCCGCCUGAUAUGGCUCUCAUCCCCUCCCAGUGGGCUGUCACCUGUGGAAAAGCUGGCUCCCCUAAGCUAAUACGGACUGCUAAGAGGUCUGCUGAGAGAAAGGUCUAACCAGGGUUGCACAUCGACAUGGCCACGUUCAGCUAAAUGUCAGUUAGAAAGUUAAGGAAGAGCGGGAAAAAGAAAAAGGAGCUUGAGCUCCAGGAAGACCAGGAACUAUGACUGCAUACGUCAUCAAGCCCAGUGCCUGCCCACGGGAGGCACUUUGUUAAGUUUUGAUUGAAACACAUGGUGAAUGGCCAAUGCAGAAAAUAAAUUCUGAUAAACUUGGACUACAUUCCUUUGGCAGCUCAAUGGACACAAAUCAUUAGAUUUUCCAUUUCAAGGACAAUGGUAGACAAUGAUUUAUAAAGAUAUGAAAGAUUCUCCAGGAAGUGAGGACUCCCUACGGCUGUUACCCGUGUCAGUACCCCACAUCUCAGUUUGGUACGUGUAGUUCCUGGCAGAGUAUCUGCCUGACCUGCUCUCCUGUUGCAGUUAAAACACUUAUGCCUGAUUAUAAGGUUUUGGAAGAAAUAAGCCCCUCCUGACACUGUGAUUUCUGACUGUAGCCUCAAGUACUGAGACACAAUGAACUUCUAUUGCUCACGCCAAACGAAUGUUCUGACUGUAUGUCAUCCCAUCGUGAAAUUAGCAUGAGGAAUGAGGAGAUGGAGCUGAGUUCAUCAAUGGAGCUGCCAAGAGACUUCUGCUCCCAAGUAGGAUGUUUUUCUGCCUUAACUGAUUUCAGGCUUCACCUCUGGCCUGUCAGCUCAGUGGUCUAGGUAGAAGCAGAGCCUGCUGUAGAUAGACUUGAUGAAGGUACUUGGUGAAUGGGAAAAAAUGAGCAAAUAGAGCCACUCAAAAAGAAUAAAGCAGUAGAGAAGACUGCGAAAACCACCCCAGCUAAGUGGAUUCCAUUUCUCACGUGCUGAGAACUUUCAAAGAAUAUCUACCCUCUCUGGAAAUAUUUGAAACCCUGCAUUUUCUUGAGAUGACCAACCCAUUAAUGAUAAAACUCAAGUUAAAAGUUCAGACAUGGAGACAUUUAAAGAAAACCAAAAACUGAGUUGUUAUUUUAGAAAGUAUUAAAGUGAAUAUUCUUUUCCACGCCCUGUUAUGCCUCCCAAUAGGGUAAAACAGGCAUUUACUUUUUAAAUGGUCUAUUAGAAUAAGAGGACUUAUAUUACCCAACACAAUCUUGAAAAAGAACCAAUUUGAAAGACUUAUACUAUCUCACUACAAGACCUGUAAAGCUAUAGUAAUCAAGGUAGUAUACUAUAGGCAAAAGAACUGACAUAUAGAUAAAUGGAACAAAAAGAGGAGUCCAGAAAUAAACAUACACUUAAAUAGAUAUCUGCUUUUCAACAAAGAUGCCAAGGCAACACAAUAAGGAAAUGAAAAUAUUUUCAAAAUUGGUGCUGAAAUAACUGCACAGACAAAACAAAAUGCUCAAACCUACCUCACUACCUACCUCACUACACAUAAAAAAUAAUCUAAGAUUGGCCACAGACCUAAAUAUAAAAGCUAAGCCCAUAAAGCUUUUAAAGAAGUAAGCAUAGGAAAAUGGCUGUGACAUGGAGGUAGGCAAAGAAGUCUUAGGACCUCAUAAAUCACCACUGAUAAGUUAACAUCAAGAGUUUAAAAUAAACAUCAAAUACAUUUAAAAUAAAUAUCAAAAGUUUCAAAAUUCUGCUCACCAAAAGACACUAUUAAAAUGAAUAAUAAGCAAAUCACAGAGAGAGAAUACUUGCAAAAUAUAUCUGACAAAGGACUAAUACAAAAGAUAUAUGAAGUCCUCCACAAGUCAGUAAUAUAAAAAGACAACUCAAUUAUUAAAAGUUGGAAAGUAUUUGUACAGAGGUAUUUCAAGUAAGGAUAUUCGAAUGGCCAAUAAGUGCACGAAAGUUACUCAACAUCAUUAGUUAUCAGGGAAAUGAAAAUUAAAAGGAGAUACCACCAUACAUACCCCAGAUUGGUAAAAAUUAAGAAGACUGAUAACAUCUAAUUUUUAUGAAGAUGUAGCAACCAUCACUUUCAUAUAUUGUUGGUGGGAUUAUAAAAUAACCUGAUUAUUUCUCAUAAAACUUAAACAUGUAUCUCUCCUAUGACUCAGAAGUUCUACCUCUAAAUAUUUAGGGAAAUUAUAUGAAAGCAGAUUUUCACAAGAAUACUUGGUCAUAAAUGUCCAUAGUGCAUUGAUUCAGAAUAGUAAAAUGAAACCAAACUGAACAGGAAAUACCUAGACAUUCAUUAAUAGGAUAAUUAACUAGGUAAACAAAGUGUAGCAUAUUCAUAUAAUGGCAUUCUACUUAGCGAUAGAAAAGACCAGUAAUGCACGCAAUAUCAGAGAUAAAUCUUAAAAAAAUGCAGAGUCAAAGAGGCCUUACACAAAAGAGUCCAUACUCUUGGAAUGGAUUCCAUUAAUACGAAGUUCUAGACCACACAUCAGAGUUGCAUUGGAACUACAGCUGUCUUUGGAAGGAUGGGACUGACAGGUGAAGGGCAAAGGGCAAUCUUCUGGAGUGAUGGUAAUGUAUGAUAUUUUGAAUAAAGUCUUGUGUUACACAGUUGUAUACAUUUGUCAAAACUCAGAAAUA